UCUCAGUCCCUGGUGGAGAGCGGCGGUGGCCUCGGGUCCCCUGGAGGGUCCAUGGACCUCAUCUGCAAAGGCUCCGGCUGCACCUUCAGCAGCUUCGCGAUGUAUUGGGUCCGUCAGGAGCCCCAGAAGGGCCUCCAGUGGGUCGCGGGGAUCUACAGCAAUGGUGGUGGCACCUCCUACGCGCCGUCGGUCAAGGGGCGCUUCACCAUCUCCAGGGACAACGGCCAGAGCACGGUGACGCUGCGGAUGACCAACCUGAAGGCCGAGGACACGGCCACCUACUACUGCGCCAAAGAGAGUGGUGGUGGUGGUGGUUAUGGACCCCUUUUAG